AGGACGAACGCUGGCGGCGUGCUUAACACAUGCAAGUCAAGGGGGCCCAGUAGCAAUACUGGGCAACCGGCGAACGGGUGCGUAACACGUGAGCAACCUACCGAAAUGUGGGGGAUAGCCGGCCUAACGGCCGAGUAAUACCGCAUACGCUCUCGAUGAGGCAUUUCAUUGAGAGGAAACCUACGGGACAUUUCGAGGGGCUCGCGGCCUAUCAGCUAGUUGGAGAGGUAACGGCUCACCAAGGCAACGACGGGUAGCUGGUCUGAGAGGAUGGCCAGCCACAUUGGGACUGAGAUACGGCCCAGACUCCUACGGGAGCAGCAGUGGGAAUCGUGCGCAAUGGCCUAACGGCUGACGCAGCGACGCCGCGUGUAGGAUGAAGCUCGUCGGAGUGUAAACUACUGUUCGCCCGGACGAAGUAGCUACGAUUAACGCGAGCCUGACCGGUACGGUGAGGACGCGACCG
rnacentral:rRNA from 1 species